rnacentral:rRNA from 1 species
GACGUAGGGGGCAAGCGUUGUCCGGAUUCAUUGGGCGUAAAGAGCGUGUAGGCGGCCAGGUAGGUCGGAUGUGAAAACUCGAGGCUCAACCUCGAGACGCCGAUGGAAACCAUGUGGCUAGAGUCCGGAAGAGGAGAGUGGAAUUCCUGGUGUAGCGGUGAAAUGCGCAGAUAUCAGGAAGAACACCCGUGGCUAAGGCGGCUCUCUAGUACGGUACUGACGCUGAGACGCGAAAGCGUGGGGAGCGAACAGG